rnacentral:lncRNA from 1 species
GAGGGUCCUCAGGCUAAUGCCUGAUUAAUCUGUAACUUUUUUUUCUUUUCAAACUUUUGUUUAAGUCUGAUGUGGGCCUUUAUAAAUAUUUUCACAUUAGUGAAAAAACUUCUCUAAGCGUGUGCAUUUACUUUUUCACAUCGGAUCUCUCUCGAUUUUAUUUAACCCAAUCUGAGUAUUGAUAACUCAAAAUCUUAAGAUUUCUCUAAGUUAUUUAUAAUUAAAUAACCACUUGAGUUUA